UACGUAGGUGGCAAGCGUUGUCCGGAUUUAUUGGGCGUAAAGCGAGCGCAGGCGGUUCCUUAAGUCUGAUGUGAAAGCCCCCGGCUCAACCGGGGAAGGUCAUUGGAAACUGUUUCGCUUGAGUGCAGAAGAGGAGAGUGGAAUUCCAUGUGUAGCGGUGAAAUGCGCAGAGAUAUGGAGGAACACCAGUGGCGAAGGCGGCUCUCUGGUCUGCAACUGACGCUGAUGUGCGAAAGCGUGGGGAUCAAACAGG
rnacentral:rRNA from 1 species